UACGUAUGGAGCAAGCGUUAUCCGGAUUUACUGGGUGUAAAGGGUGCGUAGACGGGCAUACAAGUUAGUUGUGAAAUCCCUCGGCUUAACUGAGGAACUGCAACUAAAACUGUAAGUCUUGAGUGCAGGAGAGGUAAGUGGAAUUCCUAGUGUAGCGGUGAAAUGCGUAGAUAUUAGGAGGAACACCAGUGGCGAAGGCGGCCUGCUGGACCGGAACUGACGCUGAGGCACGAAAGCGUGGGGAGCAAACAGG
rnacentral:rRNA from 1 species